rnacentral:rRNA from 1 species
CGGGACACGUGGUAUCCUGUCUGAAUAUGGGGGGACCAUCCUCCAAGGCUAAAUACUCCUGACUGACCGAUAGUGAACCAGUACCGUGAGGGAAAGGCGAAAAGAACCCCGGCGAGGGGAGUGAAAAAGAACCUGAAACCGUGUACGUACAAGCAGUGGGAGCCUCUUAAUGGGGUGACUGCGUACCUUUUGUAUAAUGGGUCAGCGACUUAUAUUCUGUAGCAAGGUUAACCGAAUAGGGGAGCCGAAGGGAAACCGAGUCUUAACUGGGCGUUAAGUUGCAGGGUAUAGACCCGAAACCCGGUGAUCUAGCCAUGGGCAGGUUGAAGGUUGGGUAACACUAACUGGAGGACCGAACCGACUAAUGUUGAAAAAUUAGCGGAUGACUUGUGGCUGGGGGUGAAAGGCCAAUCAAACCGGGAGAUAGCUGGUUCUCCCCGAAAGCUAUUUAGGUAGCGCCUCGUGAAUUCAUCUCCGGGGGUAGAGCACUGUUUCGGCAAGGGGGUCAUCCCGACUUACCAACCCGAUGCAAACUGCGAAUACCGGAGAAUGUUAUCACGGGAGACACACGGCGGGUGCUAACGUCCGUCGUGAAGAGGGAAACAACCCAGACCGCCAGCUAAGGUCCCAAAGUCAUGGUUAAGUGGGAAACGAUGUGGGAAGGCCCAGACAGCCAGGAUGUUGGCUUAGAAGCAGCCAUCAUUUAAAGAAAGCGUAAUAGCUCACUGGUCGAGUCGGCCUGCGCGGAAGAUGUAACGGGGCUAAACCAUGCACCGAAGCUGCGGCAGCGACACUAUGUGUUGUUGGGUAGGGGAGCGUUCUGU